rnacentral:rRNA from 1 species
CCACCUAGAGGAGCCUGUUCUGUAAUCGAUAAACCCCGAUAAACCUCACCAGCCCUUGCUAAAACAGCCUAUAUACCGCCAUCUUCAGCAAACCCUAAAAAGGAGACACAGUAAGCAUAACCAUAGGACAUGAAUACGUUAGGUCAAGGUGUAGCCUAUGGGUUGGAUAGAAAUGGGCUACAUUUUCUAACAUAGAACACACACGGAAAUUCUUGUGAAACCGAGAAUGGAAGGAGGAUUUAGUAGUAAAUUAAGAAUAGAGAGCUUAAUUGAAUAAGGCCAUGAAGCAC